GGCGGCAGCUUACACAUGCAGUCGAGCGGAGAUGAGGUGCUUGCACCUUAUCUUAGCGGCGGACGGGUGAGUAAUGCUUAGGAAUCUGCCAUUUAGUGGGGGACAACAUUCCGAAAGGAAUGCUAAUACCGCAUACGUCCUACGGGAGAAAGCAGGGGAUCUUCGGACCUUGCGCUAAAUGAUGAGCCUAAGUCGGAUUAGCUAGUUGGUGGGGUAAAGGCCUACCAAGGCGACGAUCUGUAGCGGGUCUGAGAGGAUGAUCCGCCACACUGGGACUGAGACACGGCCCAGACUCCUACGGGAGGCAGCAGUGGGGAAUAUUGGACAAUGGGCGGAAGCCUGAUCCAGCCAUGCCGCGUGUGUGAAGAAGGCCUUUUGGUUGUAAAGCACUUUAAGCGAGGAGGAGGCUACCUAGAUUAAUACUCUAGGAUAGUGGACGUUACUCGCAGAAUAAGCACCGGCUAACUCUGUGCCAGCAGCCGCGGUAAUACAGAGGGUGCGAGCGUUAAUCGGAUUUACUGGGCGUAAAGCGUGCGUAGGCGGCUGAUUAAGUCGGAUGUGAAAUCCCUGAGCUUAACUUAGGAAUUGCAUUCGAUACUGGUCAGCUAGAGUAUGGGAGAGGAUGGUAGAAUUCCAGGUGUAGCGGUGAAAUGCGUAGAGAUCUGGAGGAAUACCGAUGGCGAAGGCAGCCAUCUGGCCUAAUACUGACGCUGAGGUACGAAAGCAUGGGGAGCAAACAGGAUUAGAUACCCUGGUAGUCCAUGCCGUAAACGAUGUCUACUAGCCGUUGGGGCCUUUGAGGCUUUAGUGGCGCAGCUAACGCGAUAAGUAGACCGCCUGGGGAGUACGGUCGCAAGACUAAAACUCAAAUGAAUUGACGGGGGCCCGCACAAGCGGUGGAGCAUGUGGUUUAAUUCGAUGCAACGCGAAGAACCUUACCUGGCCUUGACAUACUAGAAACUUUCCAGAGAUGGAUUGGUGCCUUCGGGAAUCUAGAUACAGGUGCUGCAUGGCUGUCGUCAGCUC
rnacentral:rRNA from 1 species